UUAAAACAGCCUGAAGCCCUGGUGGAGCGGAAGUCACUCCCUGAGGCAGUGGCGACAGCCGCAGCGAGAGGAUGAACAACAAGUUCGACGCUUUGAAAGAUGAUGACAGUGGGGACCAUGAUCAAAAUGAAGAAAACAGCACACAGAAAGAUGGUGAGAAGGAAAAAACGGAACGAGACAAGAAUCAGAGCAGUAGCAAGAGAAAGGCUGUUGUUCCUGGACCAGCAGAGCAUCCCCUGCAGUACAACUACACUUUUUGGUACUCCAGGAGAACCCCCGGCCGUCCCACCAGCUCACAGAGCUAUGAACAGAGUGUCAAACAGAUUGGCACCUUUGCCUCUGUGGAGCAGUUCUGGAGAUUUUAUAGCCACAUGGUACGUCCCGGGGACCUGAAAGGCCACAGUGACUUCCAUCUCUUCAAAGAAGGAAUUAAACCCAUGUGGGAGGAUGAUGCAAAUAAAAAUGGUGGCAAGUGGAUUAUUCCGCUGCGGAAGGGCUUGGCCUCCCUUUGCUGGGAGAAUCUCAUUUUGGCCAUGCUGGGGGAACAGUUCAUGGUUGGGGAGGAGAUCUGUGGGGCUGUGGUGUCUGUCCGCUUUCAGGAGGACAUUAUUUCAAUAUGGAAUAAGACUGCCAGUAACCAAGCAACCACAGCCCGAAUCCGGGACACACUUCGGCGAGUGCUUAACCUACCUCCCAACACCAUUAUGGAAUACAAAACUCACACCGACAGCAUCAAGGACAAUUCAAGCUUUCGAAAUACAAAAAUCACAUUGUGAAAGUACACAAGCUGGCAAUAAUCCUUUUCUGUAUGUAUGUGUUUGUCCGAAAUGGAUGGGAGGCCUCCAGCCAGUGUUUCCAUUGCUCACUGAAGGGACGUCCCUGUAGCCGUGCGCUCCCCUUUUGCACUCAUUGCUGGAGGACGGAUUCCGCUAGACAACCUCCAGCAUCGCUGACUUUAUAAGGCUGAAAAACGGAAAA